GAGUGCCUGGGACGUGCCACUCAAUAAUAGGCCAUGGUACCCAGUUGUUUGGACAAUGGAAAAACACCAGUCUAGAUAUUACUGUGAAGGCAUUUUUAAUAUGAGAGUAAUAUUUAAAGUAGUAGGCUUGGAGUAAAGCAGACUACUCUCUGUCAUGUGGAUGGGCCCAUCUCAUCAGUUGAAGGCCUCAACAGGCAAAAGACUGAGGUUCCCUAAGGAAAAUGGAAUUCUGCCUCCAGUGUGCCUUUGAACUCACGUCUUCCCUGGGUCUCGGCCUGCCAGCCCACCCUGCAGAUUUUAGACUUGCCAGUCUCCACCAUCACAUGAGCCAAUUCUUUAAAGUAAAUCUCUCUUUCUCUCUCCCUGUCUCCCUACACACACACACACACACACCCUCUUGGUUCUAUUCUGUUUCUCAGGAGAACCCCAACUGGUCUCCUACCUCCAGGCCUCUUCCCUAUUCUUCCUAUCUACUCCAUUAUCCACACAACCCAGAGUGAUUGUGUAUCUAAAUGCAAUCUGAUAGCACUGUUGCCUCACACCGUACCUACCUGUCAUCCUCCACCAGCUCCACAGGUCACACUACCCUUCCCCAUGUAAACUAAGUCUAAGUCUCAUUCCUUUUCCUGGGGCCCCUCAACAGGCCCUACAUGAGUCAAGUUCAAUGCUCAUCACCCAGGAUUGUAGAACUAUAAUUGUUUACUUGAAUGCCCCUCUUCUUGCCACAUAUCCCUAUGGUACAAAUGAUCCCUGCUGACAGGUUUACAAGAAAAACUGGGCGGGAUUACUUAAAUACAUGCUUAGAGUUUUCUUUAACAAAUGAGUGCAGCCCAAAUGCCUCCAGUGUUGAGAAUAUUAGACUGCUAUCUUGAAGAAAAAAUUAAGCUGACUGUAGUAAUAUUGGGGAAAUCCUGCAGUAUUAAAAUUUUAAGAGAUCCUGCUAGGACUCAUUUUUGUCAAGACCCACCAUAAAGUAUGCUCAAGCUUGUAUAUUUUUGCAUUUGUCAGUACUGCUAGAUAGUAAAUUAACCUGAUGCUCAAAGCAGCUCAUCAAGACACUUGAGACUUGAUGCUGUCUUGGCAUGUAUAGACCAGGUCCAUGUAUAGUCAUAUGUCAGGCAGAGACAGGCUUGCCCUCCACCAAAAAGGUGGAGACUCCAGGCACAGCCUUUCCCUGAAGCUGGGCAGAGCUCAACAGAGAGAGCAGGCCCCACAUUAGCCUAAUUAUGGACAAUGAGAAGAUAGAAAAGACUGGGACUAGCCAGCACAAUAUUGUCAAUACUCUCCUAUAUAAUAAAACUUAAAAUCUCCAGAAUCUUCUUUUUUUUUUUUUUUUUUUUUUUGAGACUGAGUCUCACUCUGUCACCCAGGCUAGGGUGCAAUGGCCCGAUCUCGGCUCACUGCAACCUCUGCCUCCCAGGUUCAAACGAUUCUCCUGCCUCAGCCUCCUGAGUAGCUGGGAUUACAGGUGCACGCCACCAUGCCUGGCUAAUUUUUGUAUUUUUAAUAGAGACGGGGUUUCACCAUGUUGGCCUGCAUGGUCUUGAACUCCUGACCUCGUGACCCACCCGCCUUGGCCUCCCAAAGUGCUGGGAUUACAAGCAUGAGCCACUGCACCCAGCCAAAAUCUCCAGAAUCUUCUAACACUAAUCCUUUCUACAAAUUGCCAUGGAGAAACUGUAGCAGGCUAGUUAACUACUAAAAUAUGCUUAACACAUUACUGUUAAUUACAGAAUAAAGCCCCAUAGUUCUCAGCCUAAUACUCAAGACUGUGAACUUUCUUUUCUCACUAGAACCAUCCAGUUUUAUUUCCUCACCCAUGAUUCUAUCCCUUCUUCAAGAUCUGUCUCUUCUCCAUGAAGCUCUUUAACAAUUUCAGACAGUAUUGCUCUUGUCUUGUCUCUGAAAAUCUACUGUACUUACAUGAAAAAGAGCACAUAAUUACACACUGUCAAGUAGUGUUUAACUGAUCAAUGAUUUAAGUGUGUAUGCAUGUCUUAAAUAACAUCUAAAUCAGAAACUCCUUGAGGGCAAGGGCAUCUAGUAUUAAGAACACCACAUUAAGAAUUAGCCUAGACCAGCUCUGUGACUUAGCUUGUGCUGUACCCUUGAGCAAUUGAUUUGAAACCUAUUUUAGUCAUGUGGAAAUAUCAUGCAUAUGCUAAAGGCCUCUCAGAGUUGUUGAGGAUCAGAAUAAUAAUUUUUUUCUUUUUCUUUUUUUUUUUUUUUUUUGAGAUACAGUCUCACUCUGUCACCCAGGCUGAAGUGCGGUGGUGUAAUCUCUGCUCACUGCAACCUCCAGCUCCCGGGUUCAAGCGAUUCUCCUGCCUCAGCUUCCCAAGUAGCUGGAACUACAGGCACCCGCCACUACACCCAGCUAAUUUUUGUAUUUUUAGUAGAGAUGGGGUUUCACCAUAUUGGUCAGGCUGGUCUCAAACUCCUGACCUUGUGAUCUGCCCGCCUCGGCCUCCCAAAGUGCUGGGAUUACAGGCAUGAGCCACUGCACCCAACCCAGAACAAUUUUUAAGUGCUAAAGUACUUUACUAAUCAAAAAAUAUUGGGCACUUUUGUGAGAUAUCAGUAUUAGCCAAAUACAGAUUGCUUGUUAUGUGUGUGUAUAUACAUAUAUAUAUAUAGCUAAUACUAAUAUGUCUCAUAUAUAUACAUACAUGUACACAUAGGUAUUGCAGCCUGACAAUGCAAUAGAACAGAAAAUCCCAUUUUCUGAGCAGAAAUUCAAGCCAUUUCUCCCAUUUAGAAUGGCUGUAUUUACUCAAUGCCUGUACCCCCAUU
rnacentral:lncRNA from 1 species